UACGUAGGGUGCGAGCGUUAUUCGGAAUUACUGGGCGUAAAGCGUGCGCAGGCGGUUCGUUAAGUCAGAUGUGAAAGCCCCGGGCUCAACCUGGGAACUGCAUUUGAAACUGGCGGGCUUGAGUAUGGCAGAGGGGGGUGGAAUUCCGCGUGUAGCAGUGAAAUGCGUAGAGAUGCGGAGGAACACCGAUGGCGAAGGCAGCCCCCUGGGCCAAUACUGACGCUCAGGCACGAAAGCGUGGGGAGCAAACAGG
rnacentral:rRNA from 1 species